CAGGUCUAUGGCGCUGGGCUGUUUCAAGAAAGCUCAGCAACCUAUGGACAAAAACCACAGCCAAAUGACCAUCAAAACUUUCAAAUAAGAUCCGAGCCCCAAGCGAGGUAUUAAAACUCCAGGUCUUUGGAAUUCACGCUUUCAUGCUCCACCACUGAGCUACUAGAUCUGUUUCAUCGUUGUGAUUAAACCAAAUCAAUCGAGGAGUUCGCUUCAUUGGUGAUGCCAGUGGUAAGGGUGUAGCUGCGGCUGUGUAUUCUGUACUUUUUCAAGAGUCAGGCGCCAAUCAGGGGCUUGUGGCAGCGAGAGCGAGACUUUCCAAAAAGGGACUGACGAUCCCUCGGCUAGAGUUGGUGUCUGGACACAUGGCAGUGAAUCUUUUGGCAAACGUGGCCUCAGUUCUGGAGGGAUUUCCCCUAAUACAAAAGUACUGUUGGCUCGAUAGCACCGUCUCCCUGCACUGGAUCAGAUCUCCAGGCACAUAUAAGCAGUUUGUGAGUAACAGGGUUGAGAAAAUACAAGCACAUUCGGAAGUGACCUGGCGACACGUAGGGACUUCGGAGAACCCUGCUGACCUUCGAAGCCGUAGUGGAGAUGUGACAAAUAAUCCCUCUUGGUGUAAUGGACCGAAGUGGUUGAAAAACAAAGCGUGCUGGCCUCCAGAUAUUGUGACUAAGGCAUCAGAUGAAUCAAUGGCAGAAGUGAAAGCGACGCAAGAUGUUUUUGCUGUGGCGAUAGCAACUACAGACGAGCUAGACACCCUCCUUGAGAAAUCUACCUACUGGAGGACGAUGAGAAUCUGUGCGUGGAUAAUGCGGUUCGUCCACAACGUUCGUUCAAGGAAGACAGAAAGACUCAAGGGACCGCUGACAACGGAAGAAACUAACAAAGUGAUAAUCUUUUUGGGUGAAAAGAGUCCAGUCCCGAGUCGCAGUUGAUAAACAAUACCAAGAAGAUCGGUUGCAACUGAAUCUACAACCAACCCAAGGCGGCGUUUUGGAAUGUCGAGGUAGAAUCCAAGGGCAUUUCCCAGUAUAUUUGCCCGAUAGUCACCCCUUCACAGAGAAGCUCGUAACACAAGUUCAUCUCGGGAGUCGUCAGUACCAUGGCAAACGUCCGAGAGCUGUACUGGGUUCCGCGCCUUAGAAGAUUGACCAAACGAAUCGUGAAGAGUUGCCACGGCUGUCGGCGGUUUCAAGCCCAAGCAUUUUUAUCCCCACCCCAAGGAGACCUCCCAAGGGAUCGCACGGGACCGUUGAAGUACCGUAAGAACGGUACGGGACGUUGAAGUACCGUAAGAACUACGCGGGACCGUUGAAGUACCGUAAGAACGCAAAGACAGAGGGAAAGGCGUAUGUGUUGCUGUACGCCUGUAGCCUGACACGAGUUUUAUUCUUGGAUUUACCGUCCAACUUGGAAACUAAAGAAUUCCUCGCGAGUUUCAAGCACUUCAUCGCCCGACACGGGAGACCGCAAAAGGUGUAUUCUGACAACGGAAGAACUUUCGUUGGUGCCGCCCAGUGGAUUAAGCAAGUGAUGCACGAUGAAAGGUUCCAGAAUUUCCUCGCUUACCAAGGGAUCAAGUGGCAGUUCAAUUUGAAUCGUGCACUGUGGUGGGGAGGGCAAUUCGAGAGAAUGGUGGGACUCGUAAAAGGAGCCCUUUACAAGUGCAUUGGAAACGGUCUACUGUCCUGGACUGAACUUGAAGAGGUACUGCUAGACAUAGAAGUGGCACUAAACAAGAGACCACUGAGUUACGUGAAUGACGAUAUUCAGCUACCUAUCCUGACCCCGAGUUCCUUCCUGUAUGGUCAACCGAACAUGCUAUCAGAGUUAGAACCUCAUCGUGUUCAGGAACAUGACUUGCGGAAGAGAGCCAAUUAUUUGAGGAAGUGCAAGGAUACACUAUGGUCACGCUGGACAAGAGAGUACCUUCGUGGACUGAGAGACAGAGACUGGCUGAAGCACAAAGGAGACGUGACCUAUCCAUCCAGGGGAGAAGUUGUUAUCAUCAAAUCAGAGGAGAAGAACCGAGCACAGUGGAAGCUGGGGGUCGUUGAAGACCUGAUCACCGCCCGUGAUGUCGUGAUUCGUGGGGCGAAGCUAAAGUCCGGAAAGGUGCAUUUGGAGCGCCCAAUUUAGCACUUCAGUGUAUCCUCUGGAGUUGAGCUGUGACAAGUCACUACAGACCCCACCUGCGACCCUGAAUGCAGACGCGCCGGUCUACAGGCCCCAAAGGGAUGCUGCUGCAGCGGCUAGAUUUCGUAUUCAGGAUAUUAACGAGAAUGAACAAUGAACACAUUUCUUGAUCAUGACUGAUUUUCCAACUGUUUAAGUUCGUGGACAUUUGCCCUCUCGAGGCAAAUGGGGGAGGGUGUCGGAAAUCGUGUGUUUACAUAAUCAAACCUUUUUAAUGCGUUUAAAAUUUUGUUGUUUAGUCCACCGGAAAGGGAUAGGCAUCGAGUCUGUCAUCAUUAGUAACUGUAACCAAUCAAAGGAAACAUUCACCGAUUGUAUAUCCUUUGUUCUAAAAUACACCACAUGCGUUAAAAAAAAAAGAAACUCGGCACGUUGUGAGAGAAAAAUAUAUCUGUUAAAAAUUA
rnacentral:misc_RNA from 1 species